UACGUAGGGUGCGAGCGUUAAUCGGAAUUACUGGGCGUAAAGCGUGCGCAGGCGGUUUUGUAAGCCAGAUGUGAAAUCCCCGGGCUCAACCUGGGAAUGGCAAUGGAUACUGGCAAGCUAGAGUGUGUCAGAGGAUGGUGGAAUUCCCGGUGUAGCGGUGAAAUGCGUAGAGAUCGGGAGGAACAUCAGUGGCGAAGGCGGCCAUCUGGGACAACACUGACGCUGAGGCACGAAAGCGUGGGGAGCAAACAGG
rnacentral:rRNA from 1 species